UACGAGGGGAGCAAGCGUUGUUCGGAUUUACUGGGCGUAAAGGGCGCGUAGGCGGCCCUCCUUGUCGCGUGUGAAAGCCCCGGGCUCAACCUGGGAAUUGCGCGCGAAACGGGGGGGCUUGAGUUCGGGAGAGGAGCGUGGAAUUCCCAGUGUAGAGGUGAAAUUCGUAGAUAUUGGGAAGAACACCGGUGGCGAAGGCGGCGCUCUGGACCGAGACUGACGCUGAGGCGCGAAAGCGUGGGGAGCAAACAGG
rnacentral:rRNA from 1 species